UACAGAGGUCUUAAGCGUUGUUCGGAUUCAUUGGGCGUAAAGGGUGCGUAGGCGGCGCGGUAAGUCGGGUGUGAAAUCUCGGGGCUUAACUCCGAAACUGCAUUCGAUACUGCCGUGCUUGAGGACUGGAGAGGAGACUGGAAUUUACGGUGUAGCGGUGAAAUGCGUAGAUAUCGUAAGGAAGACCAGUGGCGAAGGCGGGUCUCUGGACAGUUCCUGACGCUGAGGCACGAAGGCCAGGGGAGCAAACGGG
rnacentral:rRNA from 1 species